rnacentral:lncRNA from 1 species
CUUUUCUUCAGUUCACUGUGGUUGCUUCAAAUGGCUUGAAGCUACUGAGUUAACAAAGUUAGACUUUCCUCAAUUUUUUAAUAUAUUAAAAUAAAAGUCUCCUCCACUAAAACAUUCACUAGAAUUAUCAAAUCUUCACCAGCGAAGUUUAGUCAUUAGAUAGAUGGAUGGGUUUCUACUCCUCCUAUCAUUUUUAAUUGUCAUGGAAUUACAUUUAUCCUCCCUAAACCAGUACAAUGUAUGCUUUUCUUGGUUCAGUUGAAAGGGAUGCAUCCAAGGAAAGAUAAGUUAUUCCUUUAUCACCAAAACAUUUAUUAAAUGUCUAUAUUUUUAGGGGGCAGUGCUGAGUGUUAUAAAUGGGAAUUAAUUAGGCUAAAUUCCUGCCUGUAUCUCUAUUACAACAGAAGAUAGACAACAACGAUGCAGGAAUUUUAAGGCCAUUCAUUCAACAUGCGGGAUGCGUUCAACAUGGGGAUGCAAACAGAUAAGUUUUUACCAUGAACAUUUGCAUCCUUGAGCACAGUAUAUUAGUGUACUGGGUGAAAAGGGUGAUGCACACCAUGUGAUUAAUUGCCACCCACCAAACAUGGUAAGAAAGAUCGCGGCCAAAAUCCUAUGACUUGACAGAGUGCUGUCCAAAUGAAAGCAUGAUAAGAAGGGGUAGGCACAGUGGUUUUUUUUUUUAAUCAUCCAUAUCCAAUCUCAGAAAUUACUAACAGAAAGGGAUUUCCAGCUUGCAUCUGCUUUACACAUUUUAAAAAUCCUUUAUCUGCUGUGGGGAAAAAUGUUAAAUAGGGAAUAAAGUAGUUAUUGACAAACAUCACAGAGAAGCACACGAGAGUAGUGGAUACUUCUCAUACUCAUAGAGAUUUAAGCACAUGCUUAGAGAAUUAUACACAUUUUAUAUAUUACAUAUACUCAUCACACCAACAUACUAUUUACUUUACCUAUACUCCCCAUCUCUACAUGGGAAGAUCUUAUUAAUCUUACCACAUCUCUAUCUCAAACUCAUUCCCUCUUCAUCUUUUUCAGGACAAUCAAAUUAACAUAAGUUGUGAAUCAUUUUGGUCUGGAUAAUUACAAUAACCUCCUAGCCAUUUUUUUUUGAUUUCCCGUUAUUGUAUUUCAUACAGUAUUGCUUCUGAGCAAGAAACUCACUUCAAAACAAAAGAAGUGCAAGAAUGGGCUCAUGCUCAUGGAUUUCACUGAUUUCACCAUGUUCCCCACCAAUCUGAAGCAGCUGGCUUGAUAGAAUGAUGGAAUGUUCUUUUGAAGACUGAAUUACAGCACCAGCUAGCUUUAAUUUCUGUCAGCCUAGAGGUCUUAGUUCCACAGAAACAAAUGCUUCUACCAGGAGACACAACAAUGAUUUCAUUGUGUUGGAUGUUAAGACUGCCACCUGGCCAUUUUGGGUUCCUCAUGCCUUUGAGUCAACAGGCAAGAAGAAAGAUGUGGUGUUGGCUGGGAUUAUUAAUCCUGAUGACGAAGGGGAAAUUGAACUAAUCCUCCUCAAUAAAGGGAGAAACAGAAAUAAUGAAGGAUGAAAAUUUGGAGAGGCACUGUUUUUAGUAAUAGUCUUACAUAUGAGUCACUACUAUGGCAAGAUCAAGACUGGAUCUAGGAGAUCUCGGUUCAAUAUGGAGAUUAUCCAGAGAUUCUACUGUUGGAGCCAGAUGCUAUAACUGAAGAGGGUUAAAACUGUCUCCUUUUGGGACACCGAAACAUAGAAGCCUGCCCGGGAAGAGCAGGGUAGAACUUAUAUUCUCUUUGUUCAGCUUCCCAGAGGAAUAAGAAGGCCAGAGUGAAGCCAGGAUAGGAAGAAACAUGAAGCGAUGAAACAUACUGAACAAUUCCAUGUUUAUGGAAAAAAAUUCUGGUAAUGAACUUACUUCACACCAAAGAGACAAGGAGUAGCAUCAUUACCUCAAGCAAUAUUGCCAGAGAAAAUCUUGACACAGAGAAGACAAGCUCAGUGCUUAAUGUGAAAAUUUAUCUGCACAUACAGAACCAGUCCAUAAUACAGCAUCAUCUCCAUGAGAUCAAAGUGUUCCAAUUAUAUCCUGAGGAGGCUGUUGUUUGAUCUAUUUUUCAACUGUAAGAUGGUCCUUAAUAACAUCAAUAAUAUGUAUUAAUUGGUGGUUCAAUGUUUUUCUCGCAAGAAACCAAGUGAAUAUUAAAAAUAUUCCUAAUUGACAAGGAAGUACAGGAGCUGACUUGCUAGGAUCACAGAACCAACAACAAGAGUGCGUCUGCAUGUCAAGACUCUGACCUACUGUGUGGGACUCUUUUCAUUACUCCAUCCUCAUCCUCCACCAGCCAUAGCCACCGAAGAACACUCACUUAUUUAAGCAAACUCUGUUUUUAGAAUUGAAGAUGAUAAUUAUUUAUUGCUUUUUUCAGAGUUUUUAUUUUUUAACAUUUAUUACAACAAAUUAGAAUAUAAGAUGAUGUGUCACGCCACCUUCCCCCAGAACUGAUUCUGCUUAUUUGACGGUUUGGAUAGAGGGCGGCUUUCCCUAUUGCAUGCUUUCUCAUACUGCAUCUUUAGACAAAGGUGACCAUCCCAUAGAGAUAGCGAUGCAGAUCUUGCUAGAGCUUCUAAACAACUAAAUAACCAACUGAUGAUCAAACAUUCAUCCAUCCCUUUAUAAGUUCAUUUAUUUAAUAAAUAUUCACCUUAUUGAAUUAGUGGGAAGAUAAUGAUGAAUAAGCUAUAGUAUAGUGGAUGCAGUAGAGAAGGAACUUUAUAAAUCCACAGAAAUAUAUACUUGAUCUUUGGGGUGAACUAUUGGGUAUCAUAAAAGCACUUAGUGUGCACCAGUCUGUGUUCUAAAUAGUUCACAUUUAGGAACUCAAUUAAUAUUCAUUUAUAUCUGAGAGAGAACUAUUAUUUACCCCAACCUACAGAUAAUAUAAUGGACACCCAAAUGAAUUAAGUAACUUUCUCAAGGUGGAUAUAGAGUAACUAAAUUAAGGCUUGAAAUUCCGCUGUCUGACUAAAUUCCUCCAUGCAGCCAAAGUACCUUGUGUGUGCUAUUUUGUCAUUCUCAAGAUUCUACAAUAUACAUGGUCAUUUGUGUGCAUGUUUCAUUUUUUUUUUUUUUGCUAGAUUCUUUACCCUCAGAGAGAUAAAUCAUAUUUCAUGUAUUUGGGCCUUACCCAUGGUAUCUAGCAUCAUGUUUUGGAAAUAGUUGCUUUACAAACAAAUUAAAAUCAUUGUUCUUUAUAAACUCGUAACUAAAUAAAAAGUAGCAAUAAUAUUAAACAUAAGGAAUGAGACAAGCACAAUGAGCAAAGAUAGCAAAAUGUAGGCUCUUGUAGUAAUGAAGGAAGAUCUCAACACUCAAAGAAUAAUCCUGCUCUAUUGUUAAAUCAAAUAGGAUGUCUAAUUAGCUAAGCAAGGAUUUUUCUUUCUUUUUUCCUCCCCCAGAAACCCAUUCAAUUUUUAAAAUAUUCAAAAUUCCUAAAUGAAACAAUUUUAAUCAUCUAUCUGUAAGUUGGUAGCACUAUAGGAAAUUGACAGCCUGGCAUCAGAGUUAAACACCUUUUUAAUUCUUUUUGCUUCUAAUUUGUAUCAUUAGUGCAUCUUAGUCUGUCAAAGUAAUCAAAGCCAUCAGUGUGGGAGAAAAGGUGACUUGUGCGUACGAGUAUCAUGUAUUUAUUAAUAUGAUUAUUUUAGUCAAUUAGUUGAAAAGAACUUAUUUGUAAUGACUACAGUCACUGACCAUGUUUAUAUUAGCAUACUUCCACUAUGGUGAAGGUCCUGUCUACGAGUAAGAAAGCUAUAGCUAGCAUCAAGAAAUGUUAAAACAGCUCUGUAUUCAUGCAGUAUGAGGACACACAUGUGUGUCCUCUGUGUAAGGAAAAGCAGGGUAGUAAAGUCAAAUCAAAAUAUUUGGGAU